rnacentral:rRNA from 1 species
UAGGGAAUCUUCGGCAAUGGGGGGAACCCUGACCGAGCAACGCCGCGUGAGUGAAGAAGGUUUUCGGUUCGUAAAGCUCUGUUGUUAAGGAAGAACGAGUGUGAGAAUGGAAAGUUCAUGCUGUGACGGUACUUAACCAGAAAGGGACGGCUAACUACGUGCCAGCAGCCGCGGUAAUACGUAGGUCCCGAGCGUUGUCCGGAUUUAUUGGGCGUAAAGCGAGCGCAGGCGGUUAGAAAAGUCUGAAGUGAAAGGCAGUGGCUCAACCAUUGUAGGCUUUGGAAACUGUUUAACUUGAGUGCAGAAGGGGAGAGUGGAAUUCCAUGUGUAGCGGUGAAAUGCGUAGAUAUAUGGGGGAACACCGGUGGCGAAAGCGGCUCUCUGGUCUGUAACUGACGCUGAGGCUCGAAAGCGUGGGGAGCGAACAGG